CAGGGCUCAGGACCAGGAUGCGGGAACCUGGAAGGCUGAGGAUGCGAGCCAGUCGUUCGGGGCAGAGGGCGCGGGCGGGGAACGGAGUUAGCUCCCCACGUGGGGGGCUCGGAGUCGGCGCGGCUGGGAGGCAGGGUGCCGGGGCCUGUGCCCCCCCGCACUUCCGGGGGGCGGGAGCACCGCCCUUAAGGUGGUUCUGUGAGGUCCCCGAGCGGGGCGAGCGAAAGUGGGCUGAAGUUUGGGGACGGUCUUGAGAAAGUCGGUUCCCUACGUUGAGAACGUUCCGAAGUUUGUCUCUUGGUCAAGUUAAGGGGUCGCAUAGCUGUGUGGCCGCGCGCAGUCACCGAGCGAUUUCAUGGCUGGAUACGGAUUUAGCUGAGUCCCCUGCACCCUCCGAGAACGUGUGGGAAAGCGUGCAGGGGUUCAGCUCUGCCUCGCAGGGGCGGGCUUUUUAGGAGCGGAAUUAGGGGGGCACCUCAGCGUCUAGAUGGGAAGGCGCUAUCAGGGAGUCCGAAAUUCUGGGAACCCGCUGUCGGUCUGCGCCCGGCUCCCGCCCCCGCGCAACACGCGCGCUCCCCCUCCCCCAGGCACACACAGUCGCAGUCCUUCCGCCCUGAUUUGCCUUCAGGAAAACUGGCCGGAGAGCGGGGGGCACUCGCCCAAAAUCACUCAGUAGAACCAGGAGUCUGGAGUAGAAGCAGGCUUAAAUCUCUCCACUCCCUGUCUGGUAGUGGGCCCAUAUUCUGUGCAGCCUCUAGGAAGCGCUAGACACAUUUAUUUGAAUGUGAAGAGUAAUGAAUAACACUCCUUUCUUGAGUUCAGAAUCAGCUGAAAGUUUGACACAAAGAACAGAUGAAUGGGAAUCAUGAUGUCACCUGGAUUGGAGUUCAUGGUAGACGUGAAGCCACAGUCUCUUUCACCAAUCAGAGGCCAAGCAUCAAGAAGGCAGAAGAAAGUAUCUCUUCGUCUUCACUGAAUCCACAGCAUCUAGCAUAGCAUAGAGAGUAUGCUCAGUCAAUCUGGGUUAUACAUCAGACCCUGUGGAAGUCCUCUUGGGUCAACUAGGUUUUGGUCAAGGAGGAUUAUAGAACUAUUGUAUAAACAUCACUCUUAUGGGCUUGCCUAGUCUGCACUCAAAAUUUCCACAAAGCUUAUAGUAUCAUAAAGUAGCUAGAGUCUUUCUGGGUUAUCGUCAAAGACCUGUCCUUCUCCCAGUGAAGGACUUCCUUUGGCAGCAUCUUAGAUACUUAAAUACUUCUAGCCACAGAGUGGGGAUGUGAUACCCAGAGAGCAGUAGUAAUAAUUCUGCUUAGUGCUACUGAUUGGACACCAUCAGGAAUACUGGGGGUACGAAACUUGGAAAGCAAUUUUGGCCAACCGUAGAAAUCUGAGAGUCAGCUACAUGGUAAGAGACUUGAAACCAUGCCCCAAGGGGAAUAACUGAAGGAACUGGGAUUAUUCAGCAGGGCAUGGGGUGGGUAUGGUAGGGACAAGACAGAGCACAUAUAGGGCUUCCCAAAUAGUGGUAAUUGUCACAUGGGAGAGUUGACUUAUUCUGUAGGCUUUGAGGUCAGAGUUAGACUAAUGGUUAGAAGUCAGAGAAGAAAACUGCUAUAAUUAAGGAAGAACUUUCUGAAAUUAUUGAUCAGUAGGACAGUUACCUUAAUUGUAGAAUUGCAGUCUCUCCACUCAACACAUAUUUAUUGUCUGCUAUGUUCCAGAAACUCUGUGAGUUAGUUAAUGGUAAUUCCUAGUGAGCACAUAGUACUUAUGGUAAUCAUCACUUUAUUUUCACAGUUCAUAAAAGCUAUCUUAAAUAGUCUCAUUUAGAAUUUGGGAUUUGUUGCUCACAUUAGUGGUUUCUCAAUUCUAGAGUUACACGUUUUUGCUCACAAAAUUUGUAAACUUGGGUUGAUGUUUUCUUGUGUCCAAUGUUAGUUAUAUGGACAUUCUUCUGUCAACACAAGCAUUUUCAUAUCAUAAGAGAAAAUUACCCAUACUUAGGAUCACUCAGGAAGAUGAGGUACUCCCUUAUUGUCUGUGGUAGAAGAACUGUAAGUAUCCACCAAGCCACUUUCCUUUUCUGCCUUGGCACCCAGCUAGACUGCAUUUCCUGGCUCCUUUGCAAGUAGGUGUGCCUGAGUUUUAACCAUUGCAAAGAGGGUCAAUAGGAUGUGCAUCACAGGCCUGGUUCAUAAAACCAUCUCCCUAUCUUCUGAUAAGGGACUCCAAGGUCAUACAGAGGGAUACAACCACAGAGAGAAGGAACCUGGAAAUCUGAUGAAGGUUGUCUAAAACUCACAAAUGGUCUCACUGGACUUGGAAUGUGAAAUCAACUUCAUUGUGUUGAUGAACUGAGAUUUAGGAGUAUAUUUGUUAGAACUGCCAGUGUCAUCCUGCUGCAGUUGGUGCUGCAGGAGGACCUCAGGGAUCCCAGACCCAAAGUUAGGGAUUCUUCCUAGUUUUGUACCAGUUUGAAGAGAAUGAGUGGAAGAGGCAGAAGUACAGAAAAUGGCACUUAAUUGCAUACUGAGGCUUCCUUUUGCUAAUAUUUUCUUCCCAUCAAACUUAUAAACUUCAUAAGUCAUGUUAGCAUGUCUUAUGUCCUCUUCUGUAUUUAAUGGUUCAGUGAGAACUGAGAAAUGCCUGGUGCUUUGGGGAUUUCAGAAGAAAUGCAGAUAUCAUAUAUUGUUAAAACAUUCAUCAAUUCAAUAGUGUUUGAGUGUUUACCAUAGGCCAGCCACUGGUGAUCAUGGGGAAGAAGAGCUACAGGCCUGCCUACAAGUUGAGGGAUAGCAAGGAAAAUGUAUAGAAAGGAGGUAAGACUAAUCCAGUAUGAUAAUGUGCUGAGAGAGAGGAACAGGAUUCUCUGACUGUAUAUGGCACCUAACAAGGGUAGAGGUCAGAGAAUAGUUGUUAAAAGGUCAUGAAUAAACUUGAGACUUCCAGGAUGAGUAGAAGUAGCCAGAAGAAGUGGAGGUGGUGGAGAAAGAAAGUGUUCUAAGAAGAUUGAGGACAUACAGCAAUGCCUGGUGUUAAUGAAUGUAGGGCAUGUUUGGAGGGACAAAAGGGAAGCUAGAAAGAAAAAGCGAGCAUGAGUAUGAGAAGAGGGCUUUGUGGUUUAUGUGCACGUGUACUGAAAUGCACCCGGAAGGCCUUGCACUAUGUAUAGGCAUCAAGCACUAGAUGUGUAUGCAUGUACUUAGGAGGAAAUAUGACUGGUUAACCAUCAAGAUGUCAGUGACUGCUGUUUGGGUAAAUUCCACUGGCCUUGUGCUUCCCUAUUUGUUUUAAACUUUUCUUCAAUAAACAUGUACACUUGCA